rnacentral:rRNA from 1 species
GAACCUGCGGAAGGAUCAUUACCAAUA